ACUUCCGGUUCCCGCGCGGCGCUCCAAAGCUCGGGGAGUGGUGGUCUCCCUUUCCUGGAGUCAUUUGUGGGAGUUAGGGUCUUAUCCUGAUCUUUCCUCGUCCCCCGCUCCCCCGUCCUCCGAGGUGGCAGCUGCGUAGGUGAACGUUCCCCCUGUCCCCUUCCUUCUCCUUCCUAACCCGAGUACGCUUGCUCGCGGCCACAGUGGCUGCCUGCCCCAGGAGCGGGGAGUCCCUGCCUUUGGGGUAGGGAAAUGACUGAAAUGUGGGACCUGCGGGCUCCUCGGGCUGACUUGGACCUCACUGCAGCUCUGGAGGUGGACCUCGUCCUGGGACCCUAGAAGCCCAUUUCCGCACUCGGGCUAGGCCUUCGGAGCCGCGGCAGCAUAGUGGGAGGAGUCGGGCUCAGCUCCCCCCCACCACAACCGGGAUUAUUUUUAUCGGUUGAGUCAUCGCACUACCUUUCAUCCUUGUGGCUUUGGGCAAGUCCCCGCCCUCCGAGCCUCACUUUGCUUAUCUGUGAAUGGAAAUAACAGUGCCUACCCCAUGGGCUAUCGGGAGGAUCAGUUGUGAGGGAAUGCAGUGUGGGGUGUCUGGCCGGCAGAAUUCCACAAAUGGUAGCAGCGGUUGAUGUCACUGGAGGUUCCUGGGGCAGUAAUUUAUCAAGAGUUUAUGAUCCUGAACUAAGGAUCAUACGGAGGAGGAUCUGUGUAUAACGUUCGGCACAAUGUUAGAUAGGAAGUAAGGGCGCAGUGCACUGGAGUUAUUUUUUCUUUUUUUUUUUUUUGAGACGGAGUCUCGCUCUGUCGCCCAGGCCGGAGUUGCAGUGCCGCGUUGUCGCCUCACUGCAACCUUCUCUGCCACAUGGGUUCAAGCGAUUCUCCUGCCUCAGCCACUCGAGUAACUGGGAUUACAGUCGCACAUCACCACGCCUGGCUAAUGUUUUGCAUUUUUAAUAGAGACGGUUUCACCAUGUUGGCCAGCCUGGUCUUGAACUCCUGAUCUCAGGUGAUCCACCCGCCUCGGCCUUCCAAAGUGCUAGAAGUAUAGGCAUGAGCCACUGUGCCUGGCCUGGAGUUAUUUUUUCUCACUGGGUUUUUGAGCAAAGAAAAGGAGUUAUUAACUGGUGAGGAUAAAUUUGUGUUUGGUAAGUCGUCUUCUGAAGCUGACAGGAUUUAUAAGCCGGGUAAAUUGUGGUGCUGGUUCAUCUUUGAGAGCCAGCCUUAAGAAUUGGCCCACUGACUGCUGGGCGUGGUGGCUCACAUCUGUAAUCCCAGCACUUUGGGAGGCCGAAGCGGGUGGAUCACCCGAAGUCAGGAGUUCGAGACCAGCCUGGUCAACAUGGUGAAACCCCAUCUCUACUAAAAACAUAAAAAUUAGCCAGGUAUGGUGGUGGGCACCUGUAAUCCCAGUUACUCGGGAGGCUGAGGCAGAGAAUUGCUUGAACCCAGAAGGAGGAAAGGUUGCAGUGAACCGAGAUCACACUACUGCACUCCAGCCUGAGCGACAGAGUGAGACUUGUCUCAAAAAAAAAAAAAAGGAAAGAAAAAGGCCCACUGACAGUCUGUUCCUAGAAACCUGGGUUGUAAAGACGUUGGGUGCUGGGAGCUAGAAGAAGUAAUAAAAGGGUGUUUUCCUAAGUGGGUUAGGGGUUUUCACUCAGAAAGGUUUUUGGGCAGGAGGGGAAAGCCUGAGAAGUUUUCUUCCUCUUGAGUUGUUAUAAAAGUAAUACAUGUGUGUAGUUAGAAAACAAUGCAGAAAGAUGUAAAAUGAAAAGUGUUUCCCCCUUCUACUGUUUCUGCCCUUCAGAAGUAAAUACAAUUAAUUUCUUUGAUAACUUUCUAUCUAUUAUUUGGAUAUAUCAGGUUUUAUUUAUUUGUAUCUGUAUUUAUGUAUUUUUAAUUUCCUCAGAUCGGGGGUCAUACUACACAUCGAUCGGGACCUUAGUCAUGUUGUGAUAUGGACAGCUUUCUUACCAGUACUCAUAAGCCUGCUUCAUUUUUUACGUGGCGGCACCACUGAGUGGUUGACGGUACUUCAGUCAUUUCCCUGUUGAUGGUCACUUAGGUUGUUCCCAAGAUUUUGCUUUCCCACAGUGUUUCACCCAACCUUUCUUGGACGAAAUAUUUUAGUCCAACUCACCCUAAGUGAUUCUGCUUUUCCCUAUUCACCACCCUAGGUUAGUAACAGCUUACUUUGGGGGAUGAGCACACCUUAUUAACUGAGCAAAAACCAAGAUAAUGUGAGAAGAAUUGGUGUACUCCCAAGAAUAUCCAAGGUGCUGGGUCUAGAAUCAAUUAAAGUCUCCUAAGAAAUGGGUCAGGGAACCUUUAGAGAAGGGAUGACUAGGUGCUGGGUGCACGGCAGCUAGUCAGCGUUAGUGAUUGUUGGCUUCUGUCAAUUGUUGCUCAGGAAACAGAUUUGAGAGAUUCUCUGAGGUGGGAAGGAUUUUAAAUGUCAGCUCUCCUGCUAUGUAUUAUAUGUCUGGAAGGGAUUAGUUCUUUGAGGGAAGAGAGUAUUAAAGAAAACAAUGGGCCGGGCACGGUGGCUCACACCUGUAAUCCCAGCACUUUGGGAGGCCGAGGCAAGGGCGGUGGAUCAUGAGGUCAGGAGAUCGAGACCAUCCUGGCUAACAUGGUGAAACCUCAUUUCUACUAAAAAUACAAAAAAAAAUUAGCUGGGCCUGGUGGCACGUGCCGUAGUCCCAGCUACUCAGGAGGCUGAGGCAGGAGGAUUGCUUGAACCUGGGAGGCAGAGGUUGCAGUGAGCCGAGAUUGUGCCUGGGCAACAGAGCAAGACUCCGUCUCAAAAAAAAAAAAAAAAAAAAGAAAAUGAUGAUCCUUGAAAAGUGACUGCAUCAUGGGGCUGUAUCCUAAUGUGAGAAUUAAUUUAGUCAUUUCUGUUAUUUGAACUCUCUUGUUUUAAAGUUAAUUAACAUAGGAUGUGUUUUCCUGUAAAUAACUCCUCUUUUGAACUGGGGCCCUAGCCCAAAUGAAGCAAAGGCUUUUUUUCUGGCAUUUUACAGGUAUUUAAUUUGCCUCCCGCCCCGCCGCCCCCCACGGCUAUAGCUGGUUUGAUAAUCCUGGAGCUCUCAAAUAUCCAAAGAGUUGGAAGUGUACUCUAUUAGGAUUUUGACAAGUCCCAUACACUGAUCAGAG
rnacentral:lncRNA from 1 species